GACGAACGCUGGCGGCGUGCUUAACACAUGCAAGUCGAACGGAAAGGCCCUUCUUUUGUGGGGUACUCGAGUGGCGAACGGGUGAGUAACACGUGAGUAACCUGCCCUUGACUUUGGGAUAACUUCAGGAAACUGGGGCUAAUACCGGAUAGGAGCUCCUGCUGCAUGGUGGGGGUUGGAAAGUUUCGGCGGUUGGGGAUGGACUCGCGGCUUAUCAGCUUUUUGGUGGGGUAGUGGCUUACCAGGGCUUUGACGGGUAGCCGGCCUGAGAGGGUGACCGGCCACAUUGGGACUGAGAUACGGCCCAGACUCCUACGGGAGGCAGCAGUGGGGAAUAUUGCACAAUGGGCGGAAGCCUGAUGCAGCAACGCCGCGUGCGGGAUGACGGCCUUCGGGUUGUAAACCGCUUUCGCCUGUGACGAAGCGUGAGUGACGGUAAUGGGUAAAGAAGCACCGGCUAACUACGUG
rnacentral:rRNA from 1 species